UCCGGUUGAUCCUGCCAGAGGCGACCGCUAUUGGAGUUCGAUUAAGCCAUGCGAGUAGAAAGAAAUUAGAUUCUUUGCAUACUGCUCAGUAACACGUGGAUAACCUGCCCUACACUGGGGGAUAAUCUCGGGAAACUGAGGAUAAUACCCCAUAGACCACUACGCCUGGAACGGUGAGUGGUUGAAAGCUCAGGCGGUGUAGGAUGGGUCUGCGGCGUAUCAGGUCGUAGGGGGUGUAAUGGACCUCCUAGCCAUCGACGCGUACGGGUUGUGGGAGCAAUAGCCCGGAGACGGAUUCUGAGACACGAAUCCGGACCCUACGGGGUGCAGCAGGCGCGAAAACUUCACACUGCAGGAAACUGUGAUGAGGGAACUCCAAGUGACUGCACAUUGUGUAGCCUUUUCUUGAAUCUUAAUAGUUCUUGGAAUAAGGGCUGGGAAAGACCGGUGCCAGCCGCCGCGGUAAUACCGGCAGCUCGAGUGGUCGUCGCUUUUAUUGGGCCUAAAACGUCCGUAGCCUGUUUGGUAAAUCUGUGGGUAAAUCAACGAGCUCAACUCGUUGAAUUCUGCAGAGACUGCCAGACUAGGGACCGGGAGAGGUAUGAGGUACUCUGGGGGUAGGGGUAAAAUCCUGUCAUCCUCAGAGGACCACCUGUUGCGAAGGCGUCAUACUGGAACGGAUCCGACGGUCAGGGACGAAGCCUAGGGGCACGAACCGGAUUAGAUACCCGGGUAGUCCUAGGUGUAAACGCUGUGGAU
rnacentral:rRNA from 1 species